CGGGAGGGGGUCCUGCCCAGGGAGCUCAGCGCGUCGGAAGGGCUCGGGGAGCCGCUGCCGCCCAAGCCGCCACCUCCCGCCGCGCUCGCCUCCCCCACCGGGCCUGCCCCGACCCUGGGCACCCCAGCUGCAUCUCACUCCCGCUCUCCCUCCCUCCCGGACUCACCUCCCUCCCCAGCUGGGAUCCCACAGAGCAGGGAGGGGCUCGGUUAAAGGCCAAGGCUGGAGGCUCAGGUGGGGUACCCAGGCCCGGUGUGCACAGGCUACCACCAGGCACUUGGGUGGGGGAGGCCUGAGCAAGUCCAGGCUGAGGAGGGAGACCCCCCCAGGGCAGCAGGAAGCGCAGGAGACUCAAGGGUGCUGGUGUGUGGGGAACGGCGGGUGCUGGUGCUGCUGGUGCUGCGAGGGGCUCCUUCCCACCCCCACUCAGCCCAGCUUCCUGGUAUGUACCCACCUGGGUCGCCAAGCCCAAGAGAGACCCCAAGAUGAGACUCUGCCCACGCCAGCUCCAGACUCCUCGCUGUUCCCCCCGGGAAACCCCCCCCCCCCUCAACCAGAGGGGCUCUCCAGCUGCUCCGGAAAACCACAACUCCUCCCCCUGGGGUCGGAAUCCAGUGUCUGUUCAGCCUCAGAUAAGGGCCGAGAGGCCGUCCUCUGUUCCCAGAAGUGCUUCCGCCGCAGCCACGCCGCCUCACCUGGCUGGGAAAGGCCCUGACCCUCCCUCUACCGAGAUCUGGACUCAGCCGGUGUGAGACACGGCCCCUCCCCAAGCGGACCGAGAGACCCCUGGGGGGCACAGGGAGGGAACCCACCCUAGCAGAACUGGGUGCCAGCCCCUCCCAGCCCCAGUCCUAGGGCAGCUUCAGGGGGCCUUCCAAGGGCAGGUGGUCCCUGGCUGCCCCCAGGUGCUGGGAUGUGAACCCAUCUAUCAGAUAGGUCCAUGGUGCCAAGCCCGGCCAUUCAAGGGCCCUGACCAGGACCUGGGUGCCAAGCCUGGCCAUUCAAGGGCCCUGACCAGGACCUGGGGUCACCACUCCUCCCCCCGCUCCCCCGCCACGGUUUCAGCAGCAGGGCUACUCCUCCAGCAGCUGGGCUGAGCUCCCAGCCCCCUGUGGUUUGCAGGGCCCUGGAUCCCCCCUUCCCACCAAGAAGCAGCCAUGCCUCGGUGGAGAGGCAGACAUCUUCGCAGGACGCUUUGGGGCUGAGGUGCUUUCCAGAGACAGUGAUUCGGGCCAUGGCUGUUCCGGACCCCUCUUUUUGGAGACACAUUCCAGGGAAGAGAGCACGAAGCGGCGCUGGGACAGCAGCGGCAGCAUCUUCUGGCUGCGCAGGCUCUUCUGGAAGGUCUCGAGUGCCAGGUACUGGGGGUCGAGAGUAGAGAGAGCUGACGAGGAGUCUCUGCCCUCGGGCAGCUCGCUCACAGGAGAGACAACAGCUGUGAUGUGUAAGUCGUUACGCACUCUGCACAGCACAUGAAGCCAUACACGCUGAUGGAGAAGAUGAAGCAGGGGGACACGGGUUCAAGCCCUGGUCUGGGAAGAUCCCACAUGCUGCAGAGCAACUAGGCCCGUGAGCCACAACUACUGAGCCUGCGCGUCUGGAGCUUGUGCUCCGCAACAAGAGAGGCUGCGACAGUAAGAGGCCCGCGCACCGCGAUGAAGAGUGGCCUCUGCUUGCCGCAAUUAGAGAAAGCCCUCACACAGAAACGAAGACCCAACACAGCCAAAAAUAAAUAUAAAUUUAAAA